rnacentral:rRNA from 1 species
AACGUAGGACACAAGCGUUAUCCGGAGUUACUGGGCGUAAAGGGCGUGUAGGCGGACCUAUAAGUCUAUUCUGAAAGCUCCUGGCUAAACUGGGAGAGGCGAAUGGAGACUGUAGAUCUAGAGUGAGGAAGAGGAAAGUGGAAUUCCGCGUGUAGUGGUGAAAUGCGUAGAGAUGCGGAGGAACACCAGUGGCGAAAGCGACUUUCUGGUCCUUAACUGACGCUGAGGCGCGAAAAGCAUGGGGAGCGAACGGGG